CAUCAAUUUCUGACUCUGCAAUGUUCUGUCUCACAAAACUCUCAAAAAUGGCUGCCUUGACAGGAGUUGGUAUAGGGUGUGAAGGAACAUGAAGGAGUAGAGCCAAAUAGGAUUGAGUUCUACAAAAGCACCCAUUACUCGAGUGAAAAAGGAUGGUCAUCUCUAGAGGCUGAGACUAACUACAACAAAAUGAGAGAUUUGAGAGCUCAGUCUAUUUCUGAAGAGAAUCCAAUGACUAUUGAUGAAAUUGUUGAUAAUGUACUUGGUACAAGGUCGGGAUAUAUUAAAGGCCUUGGCUAUGGUCCAAAGCCUAAUACAACUACAGCAACAAAAAGAAGGACAGCAGAAUUAGAGGACGCUCUUAGGAGGGCAAAAGAGGAUGCUGCUACUGCCCAACAUGGUUUACAAGAACGUUUGAAUGUAGCUGAAACUGAG